GGCGUGGAUAAGACAUGCAAGUCGAACGAGGUCAGUUUUGUAGCAAUACAGAGCUGACCUAGUGGCGAACGGGUGCGUAACACGUGACUUACCUGCCUAAAAGUGGGGGAUAGCUCGCCGAAAGGCGAAUUAAUACCGUAUGUGAUCGCAAGAUCAAAGCAGCAAUGCGCUUUUAGAUGGAGUCGCGGCCUAUCAGCUUGUUGGCGAGGUAAUGGCUCACCAAGGCUUUGACGGGUAGCUGGUCUGAGAGGACGACCGGCCACACUGGAACUGAGACACGGUCCAGACACCUACGGGUGGCAGCAGUCGAGAAUUUUUCUCAAUUUGAAGGCCCCUGAAGGAGCGACGCCGCGUGGAGGAUGAAGUUAUGGGGGUUGUAAACUCCUGUCAUCUGGGAACAAAACUCGCAAGAGCGG
rnacentral:rRNA from 1 species